UACGUAGGGGGCAAGCGUUGUCCGGAAUCAUUGGGCGUAAAGAGCGUGUAGGCGGCCAGAUAAGUCCGCUGUGAAAACUCGAGGCUCAACUUCGAGCUGUCGGUGGAAACUAUUUGGCUAGAGUCCGGAAGAGGAGAGUGGAAUUCCAGGUGUAGCGGUGAAAUGCGUAGAUAUCUGGAGGAAUACCGGUGGCGAAGGCGGCAUCCUGGACCAUAACUGACGCUGAGGCGCGAAAGCUAGGGGAGCAAACGGG
rnacentral:rRNA from 1 species